UUUUUAUCCUAGUCGAAAUUAUGAAACGAAACGUUUUGACAGUCCGUUUGCCAAUAAGCAGUGAUCAGUUUCUUUUGUUUGUUUUUCUAUUGUUUACCUACUAUAUUAGAUGAUGACUUACCUCCAAAACGCUUUAAAACUUUCGUUUAUAAUUCUAAGUGUGUUUAUAAUUAAAGAGCUACAGUGAAAUAAAAUGAAUUCUUCAAGAAAGGCAGCACCCAUGACAAAAGAUGAGACGAUGAUUCUAGCAGAACUUGUGGCGGCGAAAAAACAUUUCAAUAAUAAGGCAACAAAUGCCACAAACAAUAAAUUGAAGGAGCAGGCUUGGCAAACCCUUGUAAAUGAUUUUAAUUCGUCGAUUCGUCGUUUCCCACGAACUCCAUCGCAGCUUCGACUAAAAUGGGAAAACUUAAAGAACGCUACGGCAACAUAAGAAACAACCUUAGUAAGGCUGGAGGUGGUAAGGAUUGCAGAUGAAAUUUUGGAUAAAGCAUGCACAUUGUUGUAGGUCACAUAUAAUAUUUUUAACACUUUUACAGCCAAGCGGAAACAAGAUGGAAGAAAAGAAA